CAUUAUUGAAUAUACUUGAUGGGUUGUGGCUGGCCCUCCGGGGCAUGUGCACACUUGUCUUGCUUUUAUUCAUCCACCUGUGCACCUUUUGUAGUCUUUGUGGGGAUUGAGUCGCCUUGUCAGAUUGGGUUCUGGAUUUGAAGAGUGCCUCUGGGCUCUUUUCUAUUGACUUUUCUCUCCCAAAGUGCUAUGUCUUUCAUAUACCACAUAGUAUGUUGUAGAAUGGUUGAUCAAUGGGAUAUAAUGAUAUACAACUUUCAGCAACGGAUCUCUUGGCUCUCGCAUCGAUGAAGAACGCAGCGAAAUGCGAUAAGUAAUGUGAAUUGCAGAAUUCAGUGAAUCAUCGAAUCUUUGAACGCACCUUGCGCUCCUUGGUAUUCCGAGGAGCAUGCCUGUUUGAGUGUCAUUAAAUUCUCAACCCCUCCAAGUUGUCAUGACUUUGGUUGGGGCUUGGAUAUGGGAGUUUGCGGGUCCUUUGUUACUAAGGUCGGCUCUCCUGAAAUACAUUAGCGGAACUGUUUGCAGUCCCUGUCACUAGUGUGAUAAUUAUCUACACUGUGAAUAGAUUGCUCUCUGAGUUGUUCAGCUGCUAAUUGUCCAGUGAUAUGGACAAAGAUGAUGACUAUGUUGACCUCAAAUCAGGUAGGACUACCCGCUGAACUUA
rnacentral:rRNA from 1 species